rnacentral:lncRNA from 1 species
CACAUUUGCAAAUUUCUGGCUUGAACAUUUACAUCCUGCUAAAGAUUAAGUAAACUUCAGUGGGAACCUUUCAGGGAUGAGGAAAAGUGAAAGAUAUGCUAGCCCCAGAUGAACAUUCCUGCAGAAGCAGUCAGAACAGACCCUCUGUAACAGCCAAAGCUCUGGAGCUGUCCUUGCUUGUUCUGCCUCCACCACGCCAAUUUCUGGCAGAGCCCAUGCUACUACAAAUCCAGCAGGACUUGCUGCAAGAAGUUGAACAUUGGGAACAACCCUUGGAGUAAUAUAAACCUCAAGCUAUGCCAACUGUUUAGGAUUCACUAAUUCAUAUUUAGGGAACAUAGGAAUAGUUUGAUGGACUAAGCAAUCAUAUUUUAGUGUGUAGAAAUGAUUGUUGAUUAAUCUGCUAGCAUAGACACUGACGUAGAGGUUUAAAAAAUAAAACUAAUCCUAGAGACAGGCUGAUUGAGAUGUACUUCCCAAAGCUGCAUGUUAUGCCACAGGAAACC